UACGUAGGGUGCAAGCGUUAAUCGGAAUUACUGGGCGUAAAGCGUGCGCAGGCGGUUUUGUAAGUUUGUCGUGAAAUCCCCGGGCUCAACCUGGGAAUGGCGAUGAAGACUGCAAGGCUAGAGUUUGGCAGAGGGGGUAGAAUUCCACGGUGUAGCAGUGGAAAUGCGUAGAUAUGUGGAGGAACACCGAUGGCGAAGGCAGCCC
rnacentral:rRNA from 1 species